CAGGAUAAAAUAAUGAACCCCAUCAGAAAUGACUGUCUAUUCUAGGAUGAUGGAUUCCAUGGGAUACUCAGUCAUGCCACUGUAAAGGGAACCUAGUGUGUCCUCUCAUCACCUGCCACUGAUGACCUUCAUGGCACUUCUCCAGGCCUUUGCCAAGUGACCCCACUCUCACCAACCGUCAGAAGGAUGGAAAGCGGGCUGCACUGCAUGAUGUUCGGCUUAUGAGCAAGUCAGAACUCAUGGGAGUCUCAGUUUUAGCUUCCACCUAGGGCUGCUGGGAUUCCAGAAUACAAAAGACACCGUUUUCUAGGUUGAGGAUAUUUCUACUUUACUACGAUAAUAUGACUCUACAUGUCCAGAAAACCUCACCCACAUCUGCUCUCAAUAGGUAAGAUAAGUCCAUUUAUGAAA